AGUAGUGUGGCCGAGCGGUCUAAGGCGCUGAAUUUAAGCUUUGGGGGCGUGGGUUCGAAUCCCACCCCUGCCA
rnacentral:tRNA from 1 species